GACGAACGCUGGCGGCGUGCUUAACACAUGCAAGUCGAACGGAAAGGCCCUGCUUUUGUGGGGUGCUCGAGUGGCGAACGGGUGAGUAACACGUGAGUAACCUGCCCUUGCCUUUGGGAUAACUUCCGGAAACUGGGGCUAAUACCGGACAGGAGCUCCUGCUUCAUGGUGGGGGUUGGAACGUUUCGGCGGAUGGGGAUGGACUCGCGGCUUAGCAGCUUGUUGGUGGGGUAGUGGCUUACCAAGGCUUUGACGGGUAGCCGGACCUGGAGGGUGACCGGCAACAUUGGGACUGAGAUAGGGCCAAGACUCCUACGGGAGGCAGAAGUAGGGAAGAUGACACAUUGAGCGGAGGCGUGACGCAGCACCGCCGCGUGCGGGAUGGCGGCGUUCGGGUUGUGAACCGAUUGCGCCUGUGACGGAGAGUAAGUGACGGGAAUGGGUAAAGAAGGACCGGCUAAAUACGUG
rnacentral:rRNA from 1 species